rnacentral:rRNA from 1 species
ACGCUCGACACCUACGGAGGCAGCAGUCGGGAAUAUUGCGCAAUGGAGGAAACUCUGACGCAGUGACGCCGCGUAUAGGAAGAAGGUUUUCGGAUUGUAAACUAUUGUCGUUAGGGAAGAUACAAGACAGUACCUAAGGAGGAAGCACCGGCUAACUAUGUGCCAACAGCCGCGGUAAUCUGAGCGGGCUGGCAAGGC